rnacentral:rRNA from 1 species
UACAGAGGUCUCAAGCGUUGUUCGGAUUCAUUGGGCGUAAAGGGUGCGUAGGCGGCGCGGUAAGUCGGGUGUGAAAUCUCGGAGCUUAACUCCGAAACUGCAUUCGAUACUGCCGUGCUUGAGGACUGGAGAGGAGACUGGAAUUUACGGUGUAGCGGUGAAAUGCGCAGAUAUCAGGAGGAACACCGGUGGCGAAGGCGGGUCUCUGGGCAACAACUGACGCUGAGGAGCGAAAGCGUGGGGAGCGAACAGG